AAGCCCUCCAGCCUCAGCUGAGCGAGCACCAAAGGACAUGCUCCAGUACAGCUAGGCACACGCAUCUGUGUGGCCUAGCUGAAUCUGACCCAAGGUCAUGAACAGCAGAAAGCCAGUCUGAUGCCAAGAUGUUGCCAUACCUUUGGCAGACACCUGAAGAAAGGAGAAGUGAAAGUGUGAAGCCAUACAUUGCCUUAGCACAACCACACUCAUGCAGGUGGAAAAAUGACAAGGCGUGCGUUCUCCAUCCCUGGAGAUAUUCAAGACUGGAUAAAGCUGUGAGCAAUCUGGUCAGAUCUUCAGCCAACCCUGAUUUGAACAAGAUGUUGAUCUGGAAACUUCCAGAGGUGUCUUCCAACCUGAACUAUGCUGUACCUGUUGCAACUUAAGGAUGGUGUGAUGUUGCCUCCCAUGCUUAGCAGAAUAGCAACUUCUGGCCUUUAUUUCCUGGCCAGAGUCAAGUACCUGAUCUCUGCUGAAGAAAACUCUUCCAUUUAUCAUGCUUCACCAGGAAGAGUCAUUGGGUAUGGUUACAGAAGCAGCUCAAUCCCAUAAUGCAAGACUUAUCCACAAACAUUUCCAGUUAGCUUAAAUCGUGAGCUCCUAAACCAAUGAGUGCUGACACUUCGCAUUGCACUGUGUGGACAUAAAAUGUAGCUGGGCAUUUAAGUGAUGAGCAGAAAUUCCUCCUAAUCUUGUCAUAUUCCCUUGAUGGCAGUCAUGAGGUGCAACACAGACUAUUCCCUAGUGCCUGUCAUGCCUCACCUUAUGAAUACCCCAAAUACACAACUUUGCUUCCAGAGAUUUUUUAGAGUUCUGCUAAUUCUUUUUUGUUCUUUCCAUGUCUAUCUUUCCAUUUACUGGCAAGUAUUUUCUCUUCAUUUAUGCACAUAAACCACAUAACACCAAAGUUAUGCACCCUCAAGUCUACUCCUCCAUGCAACCUUUUCUCACGAUGAGCAGCGGUUGUAAAUGUACUAAAGCUGAGAAGAGACACA